rnacentral:lncRNA from 1 species
GAGGCUGCCAAGCUCCGAAAUCACAAACCAGACAAGACAAUCUCAGCUCUCGGGACGUAGAGACCCCUGGUCAGCACCAUGAGUCCCCAGCAAGUGACAAGAUGGACCACCGCCCACAGUUCCAGCAGGAAAGGAUGCCUCUACCUUGAGGUCCUUACAAGAAGAGAUGAAGUCCAUUUUCCCCCACCUCAAAUCUGGGAUGGCCUUGUAACUUUCUUUGGCCAAGACAGUGCAGCAGAAGUGAUGAUAGGGGUUCUAAGCCUAGUGCCUGUGGGCACAGCAGGACAGCAGCAUAGAACCCUCCUGAGGGCCAGGCCUCUCCAUUCUGUGGCUGGAGCUCCAGCAAAGAGGAAAGCAGGCAGAGGCACUCUGAAGGGCCCAACCUCCUUGCAUUCCAGCCCUGACCAAAGCCAGCCCAGGAACAAGUGGAGAGCCUCUCUUGGAGGAAGUGAUUCAGAAACCACGAUGGUCUGGCGGCCCGCCGUGACUCACAGCACAUCAAUGGGGGAAUUGUCUGUGGAAGCUGAGAAUACCAAAGCUCUUUUCUUUCCUUCCUUUCUUUUUUUUCUUUCUUUUUUUGCCCUCCCCUUGGCAGCAUUGCGCAACACCAGAGCUGCCCAGAAACAUGUGUUUCUCAUCACUGGCUCCAAUAGCCGUCUUGGAGGACUGGGGAGAAAACAAGACUGAGAGGGAAGAGACCACAAGGGGAACUGCAGUGGUUAAAGAGGGGUGGGGGGCUUCUUUUUCAGCACACCCGAGUCCUAUUUCAACUUCCCCAUCAACACCAGGAUCUCUAAAGAGCAUCUGGAAUGGCAGAGAAUAGAAUUUUGAAUCAGGGAGAAAACUUAGAGUCUGUCUCUUCCAAUAUCUUCAUCUAUAGGUGAGGAAACUGAGGCCCCAAGAAGGGAAGGAAGUGGCUUGCCGAAUACUCUACAGCCACAUUACCUCUUGCAUUUUCCAAAAGCAACUGCAUUUUCCCGUACCUCAAGUUAGGAAAUGUAGUUUGACGAAGGAUGAUUUUCUUUAUUUCAUGAAUAGUGAAAAACGAGAAGUCAUACUAAAUUUUGUUAUAAAUCUGUCAAUUGUUCCUUCCCCCCUUAUCUACCAGUCUCAGGAAACUGCUCUGCACAAGGUCACUUGUGAGAUCAUUUGCAAAUUCUAUAGUCCUUUUGGCAAUUCUCAUUUGAUUGGCUAUCUCUGUAGCAUAUGACAUUGGUGCCUACUGGCUUCUAGGUAGCACCCCCCUGCUUUCCCUUCCUACCUCUGUAGCUGCUUCUUUUCAUCAUUCUUGCUCCCUCCACUGGCUCUUAAAUGUCCAAAUUGCAUAGGGCUCUGUCAUAGGCCUACUUUUCUUUUUAUUCAUAUCCAUGUUCAUGGUUUUAGCAACUACCAAUUAGCUGAUGACUCCCAGACCUUAUCUACAGCCCGUUAAUAUUUUCUUAGCUACAGAUGUCUGUAUAUAGCUGCAUUCUCAGCACCUUCUUUGGAUGCCCCAAAAUGAACUCACCAUUUCCCUCCAAAGCUCUUUGACUGCUUUGAUUUUAUUGCCAAGCAACUAUGGGACCAAUACACUUAGUGGUUUGGAGCACAAGCUUUGGAAUCUCAUAGGCUUGGGCUUGACUCUCAGAUAUGCCACUUAAUUAGCUAUGGGACCUUGGCCAAGUUGCUUAAUCUUCCAAAUUCCUCAUCUGUAAAAUGGGCAUAAUAAAAAUACCUACUUCUUAAGGCUGUCAUUAAGAGGAAAUGAAUUAAUACAAUGGUGUUAGCACAAUGCCUGGCACAUAGUAAAUACUGUAAGUGUUGAGCUGUUAUUUUCAUAAUGCAUCUCAGCAUCCUCCCCACUGAGCCGCACUGAAUUCUUACCAUUUCUUAAAGACAAUAGGGGCUUUUACAAUGCCAGGCCAUUCUCCUGGUUUAGGAGGCUCUUCAUACGCUUCUCCAAGGCAAACUCAGACUCAUCCUUCAGACCGAAUGCAACUGUCUUUGUCCUUAUGAAGUUAACAGCUCCUCCCACUGUUCUUAUAGAGCAUUUUGUUUGAAUCGCAGCCAUAGCUUUUGUUACAUUGAGCCCUAAUUACCUACCUCUCUCCCCAUCUCUCACUUCUCCUCCCAUAAUACUUUGCUCCAAUGGCAAACGACUGUGUCAGAUAGUCCUCUUCUUGCACUUCUUGAUGCCUUUCCAUAUGCUGCUCACUCUGCUUCGAAAGCCUUUCUUUUCAGAGCAUACCAUCCUCUAAGAAGACGCUUCCUCUGAAAAACUUUCCUGGAAGCCUGAGGCUGGGUUAGCUAUGCUGUCUUUGUGCCUCCACAGUACCUUCGAUGAAUUUCCAUGAUAUAACUCACUCCACUUUCAAUGCCAAAUUAUCUGUCUUCUCCACUAGACUUUACUGUGUCUUACCUAUAAUACAUAUUCAUUGAUUAUGUGCUAUGUACCAGGUACUGUGCUUAGAACUGAAUUGCAUGAAUGAAUUUUCUGUUUCAGUAUCUAUUCUUCCCUAGACCGUGGCUUCUUGGGGGUACACUGAAAAAUGCUGAAUGAGUGAAUAAAAUGAGAAAAGAUGGGAUAUGUCAAGGGAAAGAUCCACCAAUGAUCAUGGGUUAGGCAUUAGAGAAUGACUUGUUCUUACAGGAAUAUUCAUCUCACCAACAUUUACGGAGAGUCUGCCACACACCAUGCACUGUGCUAGGUACUGGUGCUAUAACUGAACGAGAUUCCUCAGUCUAAUGGGGAAAACAGACAAAGAACACCAAGCCUCACAGGGGAGUGUCAUCAGUGCCAUGACUGUUUGAGGAGGGAGCCUGACAGUGGGCUGGCUUCCUGGGCAUGUGACCUGAGUGCAGGGCUCUCACUCAGAAGGCCUCUCACAUUUGGUUUAAUUCCCUGGUUAUUGUCAUCUUGAAAGUCUUAAUAAUUUGAGCACUUUAACUUGUGUUUUGUAAGUGAUGACUGAUGGGACAGUAUGUGUGUGAGCAAUGGAAACGUGUGCAACCUGCAUGUCUGCUGCUGUUCCUCGCUGUUCUAAUCCUUACAGCCUCCUUGGUGCCCGAGAAGCAUAGAGUCCUAGUGGACCUGUGAUGUGUGGGGAUUCAGGGAAACUCCAAGUGAGCACAGGUAAGUGCGUUACAUCUAAAGCUAGUUAAGCAGUUAAGUUCCAGCAGCCCCCAGAGUCCAUGUGUUCUGUUUGAACCAGAACUUGACUUGCUUCAAAAGCAGAAAGAAGGUGAUGAUAUUGUAAGAAAAACAAACCACCAAGAAACCCUUUCAUAUUCUUACUUACUAGUCAACAAUGUAGGCUGAAAAAGACACAGAGAAAAAGGGAAAGAUAAAGUAACCAUCGUUCCUUCUUCCGUCCAUUCUUACUCAUCAGUAAGCCAAAAGUAGAGAGUGCACACAUAUCAGGAAGUGAAAUAAAGCAGCUGAGUUAGUUUUGAGCUUCAUUUACACUAUCCUUGUGAGAAGAAAAUACAUAUGCAUGUAUGAACUAUGAAAUAUGAAUUUUGUACUUUCAUUGAUCCUGCAUAUGAAUUAAAAGUUUAUAUAUACAUUUGCAUUUAAAGUUGGCAUUAUACAAUGUAAAAGUAAGUGGUAAGGUUCAUUCAAAUAACAAAAAUUUUUAUUUAAUUUUUGUACUUAGAAUGACAUUAAGUAGCAAAUAAAAAACCACCAUGACAAGUUGAGAGAGAGAGAGAGAGACACUGAGAGAAAGGAAAAUGUUUUCUAUUUUAGUACUUAGAACAGCGCUCUUUCCCCCUGUAUUUUGAACAGGGGACCCUGCAAAUUAUGCAGCUGGCCCUCACUGUGGGAGAGGUAAGUGUCUGAAUUUUAGACUUGAGUAGCAGAGAUGAAGAGUAUCUCAGUGCCCAAGGCUUCCCUGUUCACCACCCACCACAUGGCACGUGAGGAGGCUGAGAACUAGAGAGGCUCUCAAGGUUACCCGAGACACAGGUGGAUAAGCCAGCACUGGAACCCAGCUGCCUGACCUCAUUCCUUCUUAGUCCAGUGGUCUACAUAUAACAUGGGCUCUCCUUUCUGUUAAGAAUCCCACUUGAGGACUGGGAAAUAAGCUACCCCUUUACAAGUUAAACCAUCCAGUCAGGACCUGAAGGAUGACUUACAAUGUGUGAUGGUUUCCAUCCGGGGCCAGGGAGGCAUGACCGGCACUUGGUUAAAAGUAAUUCAUUGUAUUCAGGGGGAACUCAAGUAGGCAGCAUUUCAGUCCUCCUCUUUCUUGACCGGGCAGCCGUGUUUAAUCUCUCAUUCUUCUUUCAAACACCUGCUUCUCCCGGUUUCCUACGUUCUACCUCCCUUUGUUUCCACUGCAGGUUCCUCCCCACCUUCCUGACUUUGUAACGUUGAAGGGCUCCAGGGGUCAGCUCUCCGACUUUUUCUCUUUUUCCUUUCAUACCCAUUCCUGCGGUGACGACUCUGACGACCAUCUACAUGACGAUGACUCACCUGUUUAUAUUUCUAGCCC